UACGAAGGGGGCUAGCGUUGCUCGGAAUCACUGGGCGUAAAGCGCACGUAGGCGGAUUGUUAAGUCAGGGGUGAAAUCCUGGAGCUCAACUCCAGAACUGCCUUUGAUACUGGCGAUCUCGAGUCCGGGAGAGGUGAGUGGAACUGCGAGUGUAGAGGUGAAAUUCGUAGAUAUCCGCAAGAACACCAGUGGCGAAGGCGGCUCACUGGCCCGGUACUGACGCUGAGGUGCGAAAGCGUGGGGAGCAAACAGGG
rnacentral:rRNA from 1 species